rnacentral:rRNA from 1 species
AGGGCUGCAGUAUAUUGACUGUACAAAGGUAGCAUAAUCAUUAGUCAUUUAAUUGAUGACUUGUAUGAAGGAUUUGAUGAGAUAUAAACUGUCUCUUAUUUAAUUAUAAAAUUUAAUUUUUUUAUUAAAAAGUUAAAAUAUCUUAAAAAGACGAGAAGACCCUAUAGAGUUUAAUAAAUUAUUAGAUUGAGAUUAUAUGUAAAACAAAUUUAAAAUAAAAUUAUUUAUUUUGUUGGGGUGACAAAAAAAUACAUUAAACUUUUUUUUAUUUUAAAACAUUUAUAAGUGAUUAAAUGAUCCAAUAAUAUUGAUUAUGAGAAAAAAUUACCUUAGGGAUAACAGCGUAAUUUUUUUUUUUAGUUCAAAUAAGAAAAAGAGUUUGCGACCUCGAUGUUGGAUUAAGAUAAAAUUUAAA